GAGUAAUAUAUAGUUAAUGUGCCUCGAAGACUGGGAUAGCCACUGGAAACGGUGAUUAAUACUAGAUAGUCCUGCUAAACAUAAGUUUAGUUGGUAAACGUUUUUUCGCUUCGAGAUCAGACUAUAUCCCAUCAGCUUGUUGGUAGUGUAAGAGACUACCAAGGCAAUGACGGGUAGCGGGUUUGAGAGGAUGAUCCGCCACACUGGUACUGAGACACGGACCAG
rnacentral:rRNA from 1 species